CCUACGGGAGGCUGCAGUGAGGAAUAUUGGUCAAUGGGCGAGAGCCUGAACCAGCCAAGUCGCGUGCAGGAUGACGGCCCUAUGGGUUGUAAACUUCUUUUGUCAGGGAGCAAAUUGCUUCACGUGUGGGCUUUGCGAGAUUACCCGAGGAAAAAGCAUCGGCUAACCCCGUGCCACCAGCCGGGGUAAUACGGAGGUCGGGAGGGUUAUCCGGAUUUUUUGGGUUAAAGGGUGUCGUGGGCGGAUGUUCAAGUUGGCGGGAAAAGUCCGGGGCCAAACCUCGUCCUGCCGGUGAAACUGGUGUUCUUGAGUGUGCGGGAGGUAUGCGGAAUGCGUGGUGUAGCGGUGAAAUGCUUAGAUAUCACGAAGAACUCCGAUUGCGAAGGCAGCAUACGGGAGCGCAACUGACGCUGAAGCACGAAGGCGUGGGUAUCGAACAGGAUUAGAUACCCGGGUAGUC
rnacentral:rRNA from 1 species